UCCAUUCAGGCGAGCGCGGAGCGCGUGCUCCGUCGAGCACAUGGGCAAGCAAGCCGCCGAGCUCGGAGCGGCAGCGGCCUGCGUUGCUCCCCCCCCCCCGCUCGGCUCUUGAUUUUUUUGCAUUUUAUAUGUGCAUCGGAUUUAUAUUCUAUUUUUUGGAAACACACAUGCACAUCUAAGGAAAGGGGCAGCCGCGGCCGGAAACGGCCAGCAACUUUGCAAAACGCUUCGAGGAUUUGUUUGGGGAGAAAAGGAGACUUGCGUGGCCUGGGGGGAAAAAGAUGCGUGGUCUCCGUCUUGAUUUCUGGAGCGAUCCAAUAGACGCAGCAGCCCCUCCAACAUCUUGUUCCUUUCGUUCAAGGACGCCCAAGGCCGUGGGACUUUCUUGAGCUGCCCAAAGACUCCGGAGAAUGCCAGCUGCGGAUGAAAUAUGUGCGUGGGGAGGGACGAAAGAUUUUGGUUGUUCCUCCUCCCCUCAUUCUGGAUGUUCAUACCGAGAUAACAUUGCCGAAGAUGGAUUAUUUCCCCUGCUAUCAAUGGAAUAUGCAUUUUUUUGUGGUUAUUUUUUUUUAUGUGUGAGGAUGCUGGGGGAAAAGCACCGCCAGUAGUCUGAACAUGAGACUCCCUGCCCUACUGUUUCCCAUUGGGACAAGUGUGCUACCCAGGUGUGGUGGCCAAGGCGAACCUAGCAGCUCCUUCCAUUGAGGAAAGUAUUUCUGAGCCUUGGAGAUGUUCAUCGGUUGUUCCUGAAGACGAGAAGAAUUUUGCAUGGGUGUGCAUCUUCAGGGUUUGGUGGUUGUGGUUGUUUUCUUCAAGAAAAUAUAUUAUUAAUGGUCAUUAUUUGAUAAAAGAAGUGCGCCCCCAAAGGCAUCGCAGUGAGCUGCUGGUUGGAGGCGUCAAAAAGGCAAAGAAGGGAACUCUUGAAAUCCCAUCCAAAGGAGAAAUCGGAAAACUUAUCAAUGGUGGUGAAAGGGAAAGCAGAGAAGUCCGUGUAACAGAAAUGACAGAGGACUCAGAAGCACCUGUGUCAAUUUGGAGGCCCUUGCCAAACCAGCGAGCGAAGAUUAUCCUUGCAGAUCUCUGAGAGGAACAGAACUGGGUGACGGAAUGGCAUCUAUUAGAUAAGUAUUACAAGCCGUUUACUCUGGGGUGAUUCAGGCGGGUAUAAAAUGGUUUUAUUUCUGUUUUAUUUCCAACUUCUGGGUUUCAAAGAAGAAUGUUGUGGGUGCUUCUUAUCUAUGCAGUUAGUGGCUUUCCUCUAUUUUUCUUUGUUUUUCAGUAGCGGGCUACCAACUUCUUCUGCCGAAGUUCGAUUUGAGGAGAUUAGAGGUGGUUGGCAGCAGAAAUACAAUGUUUUAUCCAAUUAAUCGGUUAAAUCAAGCAUUUUCCCACAGUGGAUUCGCAGCUCAGAUGGCAGGGCCCCAUGGUCAGAGAAGAAGGAGCUUCAAAUGUUUCCAUGUCACACCUGCUUGAAAGCAUUUUCCAGCUCUUACAGAACCUCAAUCCAUCUUCUUGAAGCAGCGAGCACAGAAAAAGUAACCAAGACCCAAGAAAAACGAAUGCUGCAGUUAGCUUAACGCUUAAGGUUUUCAAACUGUUUGG